rnacentral:tRNA from 1 species
GGAGACGUGGGUGAGUGGCUGAAACCAGCGGUUUGCUAAACCGCCGUACGGGGAUACCCGUACCGAGGGUUCGAAUCCCUCCGUCUCCGCCA